GCUCUUUAAUCUUCUUAGGAAUUACAUGAUGUCCACACAAGGCGUACCACUGUUCUCCAUGCCCUUCCUGUCUAUCUACGUGAGGAAACCUCUGGAUUUUUGAGGACAUGUGUGGAUGAUACCAAUGAGCCGGACCUCAGGGAUGCAGCAGUUGUCCUCCUGACAACCAUCACAGAUGAUGCCGAGAGUCCAGUUACGUACGACCCAGUGAGAAUCUGUUAUCCUCGAGGGUGAUGUGAUUGUCAACCUCUCCAGCCUUCCUGAUGCCUUCCUGGGCAUGCUCAGUUGAAGUUUCCAUCUCUGCGCGUUCAAGAUGUAAGAAAAAUAACACGAAAGAAAUGCAACAAUGAAAACUUCAAAAAGGCAUCAACAACCAAGCAAGUGGAUCCAUAAAAUGGACUGAUUUUUUAAAGGCAUUUUUAAAAAGUCUUUCAAAAUGGACAGAAUUAACGCGUCAUGUUCAGAACAGUUUGCGUUCUCAUCUUUGAUUAAUCCUGGUAAACAGGUCUGUUUUUGUUCUGUUCUAAUUCUCUGUUUAAUAAAUUUAAACAAAAUGA